rnacentral:rRNA from 1 species
UAGGGAAUCUUCGGCAAUGGGGCAACCCUGACCGAGCAACGCCGCGUGAGUGAAGAAGGUUUUCGGAUCGUAAAGCUCUGUUGUAAGAGAAGAACGUGUGUGAGAGUGGAAAGUUCACACAGUGACGGUAACUUACCAGAAAGGGACGGCUAACUACGUGUCAG